GGUGGUUCUCGGGUGACGCACCUUGGAAUCAGGCUCCCUCCUCUUUGGUUUCGGGUGUGUCACCCUAGAAUAGCU
rfam:Myotis lucifugus cont2.14921, whole genome shotgun sequence.